AGACUGUUGGGAAGGAGGCUGGGCUAGCCAACUUGCCGAAUUUCUCAUCGCUGACCCUGCCACUCCACGUGCAUAAUCAUGGGGCUCCUGCUAGUGUCAUUUGGCUCUCUCCUUAUUUCACCAGGGAGUCCUGCAGCAAGGAAUGGUGCACGCUGGACCCCACCCUGUCUCAUCCCACUGUGGCUGGUUUCUGCCACCUCUCUGCAUCUGAACCUGACCUGUUUGGGACCUGGGACCUAGAGGAGCUGGGUUAGCAAAUGGGUGGAUAUUUCAAGUCCUAAUGAUACUGUUGUGCUGUCAAUUAUUACACAAAUCCAAGAGCUAACACCCCUUGGUCAGAAGACACUGCAGAAUAAUUGCAGAAUAAUUACAAGCUGGAUAAAGCCCUCAGGUCAGAGGAAGGGAAAUUUAAAAUGGAGGAAACUAAUUACUUUUCAGGGCAGUGAUUCU
rnacentral:lncRNA from 10 species